UGGCGGACGGGUGAGUAACGCGUGGGUAACCUGCCUCAUACAGGGGGAUAACAGUUAGAAAUGACUGCUAAUACCGCAUAAGACCACAGCACCGCAUGGUGCAGGGGUAAAAACUCCGGUGGUAUGAGAUGGACCCGCGUCUGAUUAGGUAGUUGGUGGGGUAACGGCCUACCAAGCCGACGAUCAGUAGCCGACCUGAGGGGGUGACCGGCCACAUUGGGACUGAGACACGGCCCAA
rnacentral:rRNA from 1 species